rnacentral:rRNA from 1 species
GACGAACGCUGGCGGCGUGCCUAAUACAUGCAAGUUGAGCGCUGAAGGUUGGUACUUGUACCAACUGGAUGAGCAGCGAACGGGUGAGUAACGCGUGGGGAAUCUGCCUUUGAGCGGGGGACAACAUUUGGAAACGAAUGCUAAUACCGCAUAAAAACUUUAAACACAAGUUUUAAGUUUGAAAGAUGCAAUUGCAUCACUCAAAGAUGAUCCCGCGUUGUAUUAGCUAGUUGGUGAGGUAAAGGCUCACCAAGGCGAUGAUACAUAGCCGACCUGAGAGGGUGAUCGGCCACAUUGGGACUGAGACACGGCCCAAACUCCUACGGGAAGCAGCAGUAGGGAAUCUUCGGCAAUGGACGAAAAUCUGACCGGGCAACGCCGCGUGAGUGAAGAAGGUUUUCGGAUCGUAAAACUCUGUUGGUAGAGAAGAACGAUGGUGGGAGUGGAAAGCUCAUCAAGUGACGGUAACUACCCAGAAAGGGACGGCUAACUACGUG